AUUUUUCUUCUUCUCUUCUCGUUUUCUUUUUUUUCUUCUAAUAGCUUUAUAAUAAUGUUCCCAUACAUUAG
rnacentral:ribozyme from 12 species